UACGGGGGGAGCAAGCGUUGUUCGGAAUCACUGGGCGUAAAGGGCGCGUAGGCGGUCAGGUAAGUGAGAUGUGAAAUCCUCCGGCUCACCCGGAGACAUGCAUCUCAUACUGCUUGGCUGGAGUACGGGAGAGGAAACGGGAAUUCCUGGUGUAGCGGUGAAAUGCGUAGAUAUCAGGAGGAACACCGGUGGCGAAGGCGCGUUUCUGGCCCGUUACUGACGCUGAUGCGCGAAAGCCAGGGGAGCAAACGGG
rnacentral:rRNA from 1 species